GCCAGUGGCGAUAGCACGUUGAACGCACCCGAUGGAUCACUGAAGUUAAGUAACACUGCGCGUGGUUGGUAUCCAAGUGGUUGAUCCUCUGGGCAAUAGCGUGCUGAAGGCU
rfam:Asian citrus Psyllid, Diaphorina citri - Florida Strain, whole genome shotgun sequence.